GUAGGGCGCAAGCGUUGUCCGGAAUUAUUGGGCGUAAAGAGCUCGUAGGCGGCCUGUCGCGUCCGCUGUGAAAUCCCAGGGCUUAACCCUGGGCGUGCAGUGGAUACGGGCUGGCUGGAGGCAGGCAGGGGAGAACGGAAUUCCCGGUGUAGCGGUGAAAUGCGCAGAUAUCGGGAGGAACACCGGUGGCGAAGGCGGUUCUCUGGGCCUGUACUGACGCUGAGGAGCGAAAGCGUGGGGAGCGAACAGGAUUAGAUACCCUGGUAGUCCACGCCGUAAACGUUGGGCGCUAGGUGUGGGUCCCUUCCACGGGGUCUGUGCCGCAGCUAACGCAUUAAGCGCCCCGCCUGGGGAGUACGGCCGCAAGGCUA
rnacentral:rRNA from 1 species